rnacentral:rRNA from 1 species
CGCAGCCGCGGUAAUACGAAGGGUGCAAGCGUUACUCGGAAUUACUGGGCGUAAAGCGUGCGUAGGUGGUGGUUUAAGUCCGUUGUGAAAGCCCUGGGCUCAACCUGGGAAUUGCAGUGGAUACUGGGUCACUAGAGUGUGGUAGAGGAUAGUGGAAUUUCCGGUGUAGCAGUGAAAUGCGUAGAGAUCGGAAGGAACAUCUGUGGCGAAGGCGACUAUCUGGGCCAACACUGACACUGAGGCACGAAAGCGUGGGGAGCAAACAGGAUUAGAUACCCGAGUAGUCCCUGUCUCUUAUACA